UCACCUGGAGUUUGCGCCAGUUCAUCCACCGCUUCUACGCCCAAACUUCUGGACAACGUGUCUGCCACCACGUUUUCCGACCCCUUACGAAGCUGGAUUUCGAAGUUGUAGCCCUGGAGCAAUAACGACCACCGCGCCAAUCGUCCGGACAAGUCCUUUAGCGACAUUAGUCAUUUUAGGUUGGCGUGGUCUGUUAUGACAGUGAAUAGCAUGAGUUCGAUGUACGGCCGAAACUUUUGCACCGCCAGGACCGCCGCUAGGCAUUUCUUCUCCGUCACGGAAUAGUUGCUCUGGUGUUGAACUUGGCCGAAAAGAAAGCUAUUGGUCUCUCAAUCUGCUCGUCGCCUAGCUGGAAUAGCACCGCUCCGACGCCCGCCUGCGACGCAUCGCACUGCACGAAAAAUUCGGCAUGCACGAGUACCGGCGCCGUAAUCAACGACCUCUUCAGGGCCUCGAAUGAAUCCCUGGCCUCGAAUGAAUCCCUGGCCUCAUCAUUCAACGCGAACCGUCCUCCGGCUCGUUUCUUCAGUGCAUCAGUAAGCGGCGCGGCCACGCUAGAAAACUCGCUCUGGGUCCGUUCUCAAUGUGCCUCCUCCCAAAAUACACCCGAGGUAGUCCAUGUGUGUCCCGAAGUUCGCCGCGAAUAUGACGAGGUCAUCCAAAUACACCUUGACGUUUGACCUGAGCUCUGUGGGAAUGACCCUGUCCAUCAGCCGGCAUAAUCUCUGCGCCGCGUUACACAGGCCAAAUGGCAUCACUCGGAAUUGGUACAGCGGUCGCCCAGGCACUGGAUUCGUCCAAUUCAAUUUGCCAGAAUGAGAACUUCAAAUCGACGCUGGAAAUAUAGAAAGUUUGAUCCAGCCCCGAUAAUAUAAGUGGAUACGCGUCUUUAACCGUGAGUUUGUUGAGCUUUCGGGCAUCGAGGCAAAAGCGGUUCUUGACCGGCCGUCGCACUACGGCCAACAUAUUAUCAACCUCCCGACACACCAGCUCCUGCAUCGCGGGUGACAAUGGGUCCCACAUUUCCGGCUCUGGUUUCGGGUCUUCGUCAUCGACGUAAUGCGCAACUCGCUCAGCCAAAAUCUCAUCUACGCAGCUUUUAGCGAUGCCAGUUUCACGUGGAGGAAUAACCGCUGGUGCCAACUCAAAAAUUCGCCAGAAAUCGAUUCCCAGGUACAUAGUACAUACUUUUGUACGCGUAUAUCCAGCUCCUGCAGCAAUCGCCGACUAUUUUUACCAAGAAUGCUCACCGAAGCCCAGCAGACCUCGUAUCUAGCGGCCCUUCACCUUGACCUCGGCAAACACUCUAGUUGCUUCCGCAACUUGUCACUUCGUUUGACGCCUCUUCUUAAACCGCGCCCUCGCCUUCACAAAGCGGGUGGUGAGCAUCCGCAUUCCGGCGACCUGGUGCUGUUGAAAUAUCCUGUUUCGCGCCUCUAGUUUCGACUUCCCGCUGAUGGUGUGAUCGCAGGUGCCGAGCGCGAUUCGCCCUCCGCCGCCCGUUUCCCGUACAGCUCGGACACUGCGUACUAUACGUGUCUGGUCGGCCACAGCGCUAACAAAAUAUACGCCGCUCUCGCGCCAUGCAAUCGCGGAAACCAUGCCCCGCUUGGCCACAAUUCCAGCAAUUUAGCUGCAGCUGUACACGCCUGGUGACUCGCGCCUCUUCCACGGCUACGUCUUCUGCUGCAUCAGGGCCUCCAAAAUCUAUCUCCAACUCGUCUACGGGCCUGGUUCGCCCACUGGGACCAGCCCUAAAGCCACUGCGGUAUGCAGGCGUUCCCUCUUGCCGCUCCAUUGUUGCAUCCGCUCCGCGAAGAUGGUCCACGCUAUACACACGAAAUUCGCUUGGUGGUGAUUGCAAACGUGAUGCUAGCUUCCUCAUGGCGUGAAAGAAGUCCUCGACGCUUUCUGUGGCCUUCUGUCGCCUCUCGCGCAACUCCUGCAUCCGCUGGAACUCAUCGGCAGCGCCUCUAAACCGAGCGAUCAGGCUAUGCUUCAAUUCCUGCCAGCUAUCGGCCCUAUGGUCACGCACAUAGUGACAGUACCACUCUCUCGCGUUGCCGCCCACCAAUAGAUGGAAAUUGUUCAAAACUUCAGCCCAGGAACAUCUGCACUGCCGCUGUAGAAACUCCACACGAAAAACAAAAUCUUCCACAGCCAUUUUAUGCCUGUCGCCAUCAAGUGAUAGGCCCCAUUUUUCAACUCGGCCCCAAGGCGACCUUUCGUUACCUUGCACGUAUGGUGGGGGUGGAUCAGCCUGCAGCGCAUCAU